UACGGGGGGGGCAAGCGUUGUUCGGAAUUACUGGGCGUAAAGGGCUCGUAGGCGGCCAACUAAGUCGGAUGUGAAAUCCCCAGGCUUAACCUGGGAACUGCAUCCGAUACUGGAUGGCUUGAAUCCGGGAGAGGGAUGCAGAAUUCCAGGUGUAGCGGUGAAAUGCGUAGAUAUUGGGAAGAACACCAGUGGCGUAGGCGACUAGCUGGGCCAUAACUGACGCUGAGGAACGAAAGCCAGGGGAGCGAAUGGG
rnacentral:rRNA from 1 species